rnacentral:rRNA from 1 species
GAUGAACGCUGGCGGCGUGCCUAAUACAUGCAAGUCGAGCGAACAGAUGAGGAGCUUGCUCCUCUGACGUUAGCGGCGGACGGGUGAGUAACACGUGGAUAACCUACCUAUAAGACUGGGAUAACUUCGGGAAACCGGAGCUAAUACCGGAUAAUAUAUUGAACCGCAUGGUUCAAUAGUGAAAGACGGUUUUGCUGUCACUUAUAGAUGGAUCCGCGCCGCAUUAGCUAGUUGGUAAGGUAACGGCUUACCAAGGCAACGAUGCGUAGCCGACCUGAGAGGGUGAUCGGCCACACUGGAACUGAGACACGGUCCAGACUCCUACGGGAGGCAGCAGUAGGGAAUCUUCCGCAAUGGGCGAAAGCCUGACCGAGCAACGCCGCGUGAGUGAUGAAGGUCUUCGGAUCGUAAAACUCUGUUAUUAGGGAAGAACAAAUGUGUAAGUAACUAUGCACGUCUUGACGGUACCUAAUCAGAAAGCCACGGCUAACUACGUG